UGGGGAAUAUUGGACAAUGGGCGAAAGCCUGACCCAGCAACGCCGCGUGAAGGAUGAAGUAUUUCGGUAUGUAAACUUCGAAAGAAUAGGAAGAAUAAAUGACGGUACUAUUUAUAAGGUCCGGCUAACUACGUGCCAGCAGCCGCGGUAAUACGUAGGGACCAAGCGUUGUUCGGAUUUACUGGGCGUAAAGGGCGCGUAGGCGGCGUGGUAAGUCAUCUGUGAAAUCUCCGAGCUUAACUCGGAACGGUCAGAUGAUACUGCUGUGCUAGAGUACAGAAAGGGCAAUCGGAAUUCUUGGUGUAGCGGUGAAAUGCGUAGAUAUCAAGAGGAACACCUGAGGCGAAGGCGGGUUGCUAGGCUGAUACUGACGCUGAGGCGCGAAAGCCAGGGGAGCAAACGGGAUUAGAUACCCAGGUAGUCCCUGAGCGGGCUGGCAAGGCGCAU
rnacentral:rRNA from 1 species